UACGAAGGGGGCUAGCGUUGCUCGGAAUCACUGGGCGUAAAGCGCACGUAGGCGGAUUGCUAAGUCAGGGGUGAAAUCCUGGAGCUCAACUCCAGAACUGCCUUUGAUACUGGCGGUCUCGAGUCCGGGAGAGGUGAGUGGAACUGCGAGUGUAGAGGUGAAAUUCGUAGAUAUUCGCAAGAACACCAGUGGCGAAGGCGGCUCACUGGCCCGGUACUGACGCUGAGGUGCGAAAGCUAGGGGAGCAAACGGG
rnacentral:rRNA from 1 species